GCUGGGACUUGGAAAAACAGGUUAUAUCACAAAUAUCAUACAGUAUCACCAGGCUCACAAAACAAAGGUUCCUACACCUUAUACAAUUAUUUAUGAAAUACACACAGACACAAAAAUGUAGGCUGCUCCCUGCCCCCGGAAUCCAAUUUGUGAUAAAAUCAAGUUAAAUAAAUUUCAGCUUAAGAAUACUUCAUUUGUUUAUUUUCUUGGUGGUGCAAAAAUUCAUUAAAACCUUGAAAAGAACUUUUUAUACUAACCUUUUAGUUUCCUAGAACUCACUCUGAAUAUACAAUCUUUCCCAAGCUUGAAACAAAUCACAGUAAAGAAAAAAACAAAAAACACUGGAAAUGACCAAGGAUUUUCUCCAGUAAACAGAAUUUAAAUAAUAGCUUUUAACUGAGAGAACAGUGAAGUAACACUACCAAAAAGAUUUUUGAACUUACAGUAAUAAUAGACAAAGUGCAAAACUUUCACAUUUUCUUAAACUCUGAAUGAACACUAAGAAUAAUUCUUACUAAUUUAUCAAGAAGAUUACUUACUCACUUUUUAGACAAGUUCACCUUAAGGUCCCCCUCUCCUACCAUACAAUACUUACAUCCCUAGAAAUGAAAAGUGGAGAGGGCUCCAAUCAAGCCGGCCUGUUUUAUUUGACAACCAAAAAAAAAAAAAAAAGUCACCACCAUCAACAACAAAAAACCCCUGGGUCUAUAAAUGUUAAAAUUGGGUAGGAAAAUAAUUAAUUAGUGAGAACUUACUCCUUUCAACCAUAUCCCUCUCCUAGGGAUGACCAAAUAUUUUUAAAAGAGGGGUGAGCUAACUAAAUACAGUUUAAAAUACGCCACUAAAUCAUCGAUGAACACAUUUCAGACUCUGGCAGGUAAGGUGUGGGUUUAAGAGCACUUACUUCAUAAAAGACUGAAGAGUUGAAGGAGAAACUCUAGGUUUUGUACCCGUAUUACUUCUACACAGAUGCCUCCUUCCAAGUUAAUCACAUUCUAUCUCUAACAGCUUUUAAAAGAAUAUUUUAAAUAUUGGAGGAUAUUUAAAUCCCAGCUUUAGAAAAUGAGCUUAGGACAUGAAGGUCAUCUGUUGGUACAAGUCACA
rnacentral:lncRNA from 1 species